GACACUGUGUUCUGUUACCAUGGUGACAUAUUAAAACAAUAUAACCCAUCCAAAAUGCCCUUUUUACCUUCUCCAUUAUACUUGACUUAUAAGAGAAGCAAGUAUAAAUAUUUAAAUUCUGGGGCCUGUGCAAGCCAUUUACUCAAGUGCACAAUAAGUGGGACCAGUUAUGUGAUAUGAUUUUGACGUCAGUCAACAGCUUUUUGGUCAUACUACAUGAUUUCCUUUUUUUUAUUUUAAUCAUCCUGUAUGAUUUUAAUUAGUAACUCAAUCAAUUGUGUUGGCUCUGUUGCCUUUCUGUUUUAAAUGAAUUUAAAGCGCACAAUUUAUUUACAUGUGAAGCUGCACCAAGUGGUGAUGUUGUAGAUGUGUACCCUGAAGUAUUUCAUAUUUCAUUUUAUCCUGCUUAUUGUUUGAUUGUUAUUAUGAUUUUUUUAUCAAAUGAUGUUGAAGAAUCUACUGACCUUCAAACUGGAGGAUUUUAAUUUCCUGUUUUUUCAAGUGUCAUUGCACAUUUUUUUUUUCCUGAACUGUGUUCUUGACAGGGUUAUAUGUGUUAUUUUAAUGUUCAUAUGUAUAUGUUCAAUACAGAGAUUUUCUAAAGUCUG